UACGUAGGGUGCAAGCGUUAAUCGGAAUUACUGGGCGUAAAGCGUGCGCAGGCGGGUCUUUAAGUCAGGGGUGAAAUCCUGGAGCUCAACUCCAGAACUGCCUUUGAUACUGAGGAUCUUGAGUUCGGGAGAGGUGAGUGGAACUGCGAGUGUAGAGGUGAAAUUCGUAGAUAUUCGCAAGAACACCAGUGGCGAAGGCGGCUCACUGGCCCGAUACUGACGCUGAGGCACGAAAGCGUGGGGAGCAAACAGG
rnacentral:rRNA from 1 species